ACGCUGGCGGCGUGCCUAACACAUGCAAGUCGAGCGAGGGUUUGCUCAGUAUUGAGUAUUCUAAGAUUAGAAUGUUCAGUUCUGAGCAAAACCAAGCGGCGGACGGGUGAGUAACGCGUGGGUAACCUGCCCUAUACACAUGGAUAACAUACUGAAAAGUUUACUAAUACAUGAUAAUAUAUAUUUGCGGCAUCGCAGAUAUAUCAAAGUGUUAGCGGUAUAGGAUGGACCCGCGUCUGAUUAGCUAGUUGGUGAGAUAACUGCCCACCAAGGCGACGAUCAGUAGCCGACCUGAGAGGGUGAUCGGCCACAUUGGAACUGAGACACGGUCCAAACUCCUACGGGAGGCAGCAGUGGGGAAUAUUGCACAAUGGGCCAAAGCCUGAUGCAGCAACGCCGCGUGAACGAUGAAGGUCUUCGGAUCGUAAAGUUCUGUUGCAGGGGAAGAUAAUGACGGUACCCUGUGAGGAAGCCCCGGCUAACUACGUGCCAGCAGCCGCGGUAAUACGUAGGGGGCUAGCGUUAUCCGGAUUUACUGGGCGUAAAGGGUGCGUAGGUGGUCCUUCAAGUCGGUGGUUAAAGGCUACGGCUCAACCGUAGUAAGCCGCCGAAACUGGAGGACUUGAGUGCAGGAGAGGAAAGUGGAAUUCCCAGUGUAGCGGUGAAAUGCGUAGAUAUUGGGAGGAACACCAGUAGCGAAGGCGGCUUUCUGGACUGCAACUGACACUGAGGCACGAAAGCGUGGGUAGCAAACAGGAUUAGAUACCCUGGUAGUCCACGCUGUAAACGAUGAGUACUAGGUGUCGGGGGUUACCCCCCUCGGUGCCGCAGCUAACGCAUUAAGUACUCCGCCUGGGGAGUACGCACGCAAGUGUGAAACUCAAAGGAAUUGACGGGGACCCGCACAAGUA
rnacentral:rRNA from 1 species